GCGGCGCACGGGUGCGGAACACGUGUGCAACCUGCCUUUAUCUGGGGGAUAGCCUUUCGAAAGGAAGAUUAAUACCCCAUAAUAUAUUGAGUGGCAUCACUUGAUAUUGAAAACUCCGGUGGAUAGAGAUGGGCACGCGCAAGAUUAGAUAGUUGGUGAGGUAACGGCUCACCAAGUCAAUGAUCUUUAGGGGGCCUGAGAGGGUGAUCCCCCACACUGGUACUGAGACACGGACCAGACUCCUACGGGAGGCAGCAGUGAGGAAUAUUGGACAAUGGGUGAGAGCCUGAUCCAGCCAUCCCGCGUGAAGGACGACUGCCCUAUGGGUUGUAAACUUCUUUUAUACUGGGAUAAACCUACCCUUCGUGAGGGUAGCUGAAGGUACAGUAUGAAUAAGCACCGGCUAACUCCGUGCCAGCAGCCGCGGUAAUACGGAGGGUGCAAGCGUUAUCCGGAUUUAUUGGGUUUAAAGGGUCCGUAGGCGGACUCGUAAGUCAGUGGUGAAAUCUCAUAGCUUAACUAUGAAACUGCCAUUGAUACUGCGGGUCUUGAGUAAAGUAGAAGUGGCUGGAAUAAGUAGUGUAGCGGUGAAAUGCAUAGAUAUUACUUAGAACACCAAUUGCGAAGGCAGGUCACUAUGUUUUAACUGACGCUGAUGGACGAAAGCGUGGGGAGCGAACAGGAUUAGAUACCCUGGUAGUCCACGCCGUAAACGAUGCUAACUCGUUUUUGGGUUUUCGGAUUCAGAGACUAAGCGAAAGUGAUAAGUUAGCCACCUGGGGAGUACGUUCGCAAGAAUGAAACUCAAAGGAAUUGACGGGGGCCCGCACAAGCGGUGGAUUAUGUGGUUUAAUUCGAUGAUACGCGAGGAACCUUACCAAGGCUUAAAUGGGAAUUGACAGGUUUAGAAAUAGAUCCUUCUUCGGACAAUUUUCAAGGUGCUGCAUGGUUGUCGUCAGCUCGUGCCGUGAGGUGUUAGGUUAAGUCCUGCAACGAGCGCAACCCCUGUCACUAGUUGCCAUCAUUCAGUUGGGGACUCUAGUGAGACUGCCUACGCAAGUAGAGAGGAAGGUGGGGAUGACGUCAAAUCAUCACGGCCCUUACGCCUUGGGCCACACACGUAAUACAAUGGCCGGUACAGAGGGCAGCUACUAUGCGAAUAGAUGCGAAUCUCGAAAGCCGGUCUCAGUUCGGAUUGGAGUCUGCAAC
rnacentral:rRNA from 1 species